rnacentral:rRNA from 1 species
CCAAACCGACACUGGUGGUCAGGUAGAGAAUACCAAAGCGAUCGAGCGAAUCCUGGUCAAGGAACUCGGCAAAUCACUCCCGUUCCUUCGGUUUAAGGGAGACCCCCGAUGGUGAAGCGGCUUGCCCGUGGAGCUUUUGGGGGUGGCACAGACCAGGGGGUAGCGACUGUUUACCAAAAACACAGGNGCNUGCGAAGGCGCAAGCCGCUGUAUAUGCACUGACGCCUGCCCGGUGCCGGAAGGUUAAGAGGAUCCGUCAGCCUUCGGGUGAAGCGGUGAAUUCAAGCCCCGGUAAACGGCGGUGGUAACUAUAACCAUCCUAAGGUAGCGAAAUUCCUUGUCGGGUAAGUUCCGACCUGCACGAAUGGCGUAACGACUUCCCCACUGUCUCGACCAGGAGCUCGGCGAAAUUGCAGUACGAGUAAAGAUGCUCGUUAAGCGCAGAAGGACGAAAAGACCCCGGGACCUUUACUAUACCUUGGUAUUGGCAUUCGGUGUGGAUUGUGUAGCAUAGGCGGAAGGCUUCGAAGCCACGGCGCCAGCCGCGGUGGAGCCGCAAGGUGAAAUACCGCUCUGUUCGCAUUGGAUGUCUAACCUCGACCAGUCAUCCUGGUCAGGGACAGUGCCUGGCGGGUAGUUUAACUGGGGCGGUUGCCUCCCAAAGAGUAACGGAGGCGCUCAAAGGUNCCCUCAGCCCGGUUGGCAAUCGGGUGGCGAGUGUAAGUGCACAAGGGAGCUUGACUGCGAGACUGACGGGUCGAGCAGGGACGAAAGUCGGAACUAGUGAUCCGGUGCCGGUGUACGGACGCGGCAUCGCUCAACGGAUAAAAGGUACCCCGGGGAUAACAGGCUGAUCAUUCCCAAGAGUCCAUAUCGACGGGAUGGUUUGGCACCUCGAUGUCGGCUCGUCGCAUCCUGGGGCUGGAGCAGGUCCCAAGGGUUCGGCUGUUCGCCGAUUAAAGCGGCACGCGAGCUGGGUUCAGAACGUCGUGAGACAGUUUGGUCUCUAUCCUCUGCGCUCGUCGGAAUGUUGAGGAGGCCUGCCCAUAGUACGAGAGGACCUGGGUGGACGAACCUCUGGUAUGCCGGUUGUCACGCCAGUGGCACGGCCGGUUGGCUACGUUCGGAAGGGAUAACCGCUGAAAGCAUCUAAGCGGGAAGCCUGCUCCAAGAUAAGCAUUCCAUAGGACUACGGGUCCUUGAAGUCCCCAUGCAGAACACGUGGUUGAUAGGCCGGACGUGGAAGCCCCGCGAGGGGUGGAGCCGACCGGUACUAACGGACGAAAGGCAACACAA